rnacentral:lncRNA from 1 species
AAGCCGGGAAAAUCCACAUAUAGCAGAAUGGGUGGGGUUAAUGCUUACAAAAGGAGACAUCACAAGCAUUAUGGAUCCAAGUCUAAAUGGAGACUAUGAUUCUGGUUCUGUGUGGAAAGCUGUUGAACUAGCAAUGUCUUGUAUAAAUCCUUCUUCAACGAGAAGACCUACCAUGUCUCAAGUUGUUAUUGAAUUAAACGAUUGCCUAGCAUCUGAAAAUUCAAGGGCAGGAGCGAGUAGGGACAUGGACUCAAAGAGUUCCAUAGAAGUGAGCUUGACAUUUGGUACCGACGUGAACCCAACGGCUCGGUAGAUUACAUGAAAACUUAUCAUGCGGUACCACGUAAAUUUUUAUUUAUAUGUUUCUGUUUUUUACGUGAAGAAUUAUCAUGGAUACCAUAUUCCCAAUCACUUGGAGCAAUCAUCUACGGAUAGGCAACUUGAUUUAGAGACCCAAAAAAACUUUUUCAUUUAAUCCUUAUAAAUGAUUGAUGAAUAUAUAUGUCUAAAUUAUUGUCAGCUGUUAUGUAAUUAAUGAGCUUUCCAAGUUGCAAAGCAGACCAUAAUUUUGGACUUUUUUCUCACCUCUGUCAUAUCAGUCGACACUUGCAAUAGGUCCACUGCAUUUGUAUAACUUAUUCACCUUUUAGUUAUCUCGUUAGUUGGACUUGGGCCAUAAUUAAGAAAUUAGACAGGAGUGACCGAAGUAUAUAAGUGCGUUUAUAGAUGGACAAGUACAUCUCAUCAAUAAAAAGGUACGGCUAGAAAUAAGAAAAAGGGAUGAUAAAAUAAUGUGGGGGGAGGGGGGGGAGUGGGGUGGGGAAAAGGGGUAAUAAGUCAUUUCCUCACUACUUGUUGUGAAUAGACACCGGUUUCUUUAUUGAAUAUGUGAAUAAUCAAUUACAAUCUCUAAUUACAAUCUUUAAGCUUAUAUUUAUAUCUUCAAAAACCCAACUCUCAAACCGAAUUGAUAAAUGAAAUCUUUUAUCGAGCCCAUUAAAAAAACCAUAUUGUAAGAGUCCGUUACAUUUUUCAGUUCGCUCUAAAAGAGUUUCUUUAGUUAUUUUUGUCACCAGAAACAACAUCAUUCAAUACACUUUUUUGUUUCCAUGAUCAGCGCAAAGUAUCAAUCGAGUAAUUUAACUAAUUUUAAAGCAAAAGACAAUGAUUAUUGGUAAUUACCCACACAUGAACCUUAGUACCAAUAUGCAUGCGUAUAUCAACCAAAUCAAAUCAUCAAUAUGGUCCACAAGACGUAAAAGAGUUGGACCCCAUGAUAUUGUCAAGGUUAAUAUUGGCAUAUAUAUAAAAGCUAUUAAACUAUGUUAAUAUAGUUUGUAACACAUGGUGUACUUCAAUUUUUGUAGGCCCAUAUCCUUGUGUAUUUACGCAUAACAUUGUCCAUGAAUAAAAGGUAAGUGAGUUUAAUAUCAAAAUCUACAUGGUAUCAGAGCAUAAUUUAUGAAACCUAAUUUUUUUUUAAAAAAUUGGUAUUAUAUCUUCGAAGUUCCAAAAUUUUAUUUUUUACGUCUGGUUAUUUCAGUGAGAUAUAACAACAAUGACUGGUGGAGUGGAUUCAUCAGUUUUCAAAAGUUUGAUCCCAGAUCGAAACAGUGAUGAGGUUGUAUGGUUCGGACAACCCUGGUGCUUUAAUCACUUCGGUUAUGUUAACCGGAGAAAAUUAUAACGAAUGGUCAAUUGAGUUACUCAAUGCUUUCCAAGCCAAAUAGGUUUAUCAACCGUACGUUGAAGAAACCGGCGAAUUCAAGUCCUGAUCUCGAAAAAUGGCUUGCGGUGAAUUCGAUGCUUGUUGGUUGGAUUCGUACUUCGAUCGAACCUAGGGUAAGAAGCAUAGUGACCUACAUCUCUGACGCUUGUUUGCUUUGGGAGACUUUGAAAUAGAGGUUUUAGGUGGGCAACGAGGUUCGCGUCCAUCAAUUGAAGGCUCAACUUGCGUCGUGGAGGCAAGAAGGACAACCUGUGUUGGAUUACUUUGGUCGUCUCUCCAAUUUGUGGGAAGAAUUGCAGGUGUAUCGUCCGGUUCAUGUCUGUACUUGUGGUGCUGCUGCGGCAAUCGCAAAAGAUCAAGAGAAAGAGAAGAUCCAUCAAUUUGUGAUGGGUCUUGAUGAUGCGAGAUUUGGUAGGAUUUGUACAACCAUAAUUGGUAUGGAUCAUCUCCCUUCACUUGGAGAAAUUUACAAUAAAAUCGUUCGUGAAGAACAGAGAAUUGCCUCUGCGCGUGGACGUGAGCAACAACAAGAUGUUGUGAUAGUCAAAGCAGAUAAUCAAAGCAGAGUUGAGAAUUUAAUCCUUCGAUCACACAUUCUAUGUUCUCAUUGUGGAAGAUCAGGUCACGAGAAACGUGACUGUUGGCAGAUCGUUGGAUUCCGGGAGUGGUACACCGAACGCUCUGGAAGAGGUGGUCGCGGUUCAAACAACAAUGCGGGUCAUGGUCGUGGUCAAGUUAGUGCAGCUCAUGCCACGAGCUCUAACUAGUCUUUGUUUCCUGAGCUUACUUCUGAGCAAUGGAAAGUUUUAACUCAGAUGAUUCAAGAAAAAGCUGGUUCAUCUAAUGUGUCUGAUAAGUUAUCAGGUAAGAAUGAUCUCGGUGAUGUCAUUCUUGAUACAGGUGCUUCCCAUCACAUGACGGGAAACCUGUCUUUGUUGACCAAUGUUGGUAUCAUCUCGCCGUGUUUGGUGGGAUUCGCUGAUGGAAAUAAGACUUUUGCCAUCAGCAUGGGCUCUUUGUAUCUCUCAGCCCAAAUUACCUUGACGAACGUUCUUUACGUCCCAGAUUUGAAUUGCACCCUUAUCUCGUUUGCAAAGUUGUUAAAACAAACAAAUUGUUUUACACUAAUGUCUGAUACGAUUUGUGUUUUACAGGACCGUUCUUCGAGGACCCUGAUUGGAGCCGUUGAAGAGUGUGAUGGUGUGUAUUACUUUAUGGAUAUUGUCUCAACAAAGAGUCAUCGAGCAGUUGUGAUCUGCUCAAAGUUUAAUCCCUAAACUACUCUGCAAGAGCACAGAUGUGCAGUUGUAGUAUCUAGGGGUCGAACCACAGAGACAAGAGAUCACUCAAUAAACCUUAUGUAGAUGGAGUUACGCUAAGCCAAAAUAUGCGAAACAAAUAGCAAUGCGACAGAGAUAAAUAAAACAGCAAGGAAAAUGGUUUGUAAGUUCGAUGUGGUAAGGAUUAGGUCUAGGGCGUUUUCAGGAGAUCAAUGAAUGCAGAUCAACUUAACAAGUCAGGGUUCAGAUAUUAAGCACGGUUCUUGAACUCGAAACACAGAACUAUAAUUAACCAACUUCCGUUGUGAGAAUUAUCUAAGUUAAAAUCCUAGAAUUCCAAAUUCCUUUGCAAAUCCUACAGAUUUAAACCAGCCUUAAUUGCACAAGUUCGAUAUGUUCACAAAGCUCCUAAACCAAAUUCCUUUGCGAAUAGUUACUUUGCUCAACUCAGGUUCUUUCCAGUUAUUCAAUUACACUUCCGUGUCAAUCAAGCAACCUAAGACCUAAGUUCUAGGUGAUCAGUCUAGAAUUUGCUUUAAGAACAACCUAAGGUGAAGAACAAAUAGAUAUGAACCCUAGCUAGCAAGUUAAUCAAACAUUCAAAGAAAACCCUAAUUAACCCUAAACCUAACAGGUGAUCUACUCAGACAUGGUUAUUGAAACAACAAACAUGAUGAAUAGAAAGCAAUAGAUUAAAUCGAAAUAGAUAAAGGGGUUCGAAAUCUUCUCUCUAAACGAACAGAGUUCAGACUUGUCUCCCCAAGCUCAGAAAUCGCAAAAGCCGAAAACUCAGAGUAUCUCUCUCUCAAAAAUCUCCGGUUCUCGUAAAAAGGGAAUAAAAAUCCUAUAUAUAUCUCUAAGACACGUCUUGGGCUUCCUUGAAAACGUUUGGGCCCAACUCCUUCUUCAAAUAGGAAACAAAAUCGCCUUUUCCUUAUUUCUCUGACAAGUGUCGAGCGUCACUCUCCAUGGUGUCGAGCGUCACUAAAGCACAAAAUCCAUUCUUGACGAAUUUGAUCCUGAUUAAGCUCCAAAGUGCUCCAAAGUCUCCAGCUAAGCUCCAAACGUACCUAUGACCUGAAAAGACUCCAAAAGACUCGAAAGACACUAAAAAGACUCUAUAAAUAAGACAUAUACCAUGGUUAAAAACCAUAAAAACCAUGAUAUAUCAAGUUGGUACUUCAGAUCAAGCUUUGUGGCAUCAGCGUUUGGGACAUCCAUCUUUUUCAGUAUUUUUGGAUUUUGUGUCGCUUUCUACCUCUUCAAAAACGCCUAGCUCUAGUUCUUGUGACAUUUGUUUUAGAGCUAAGCAAACUCGGGAAAGUUUUUAUGAUAGUUUGAAUACAACAAAGGAAUGUUUUUCCCUUAUUCAUGUUGACGUUUGGGGACCGUAUCGAGUUCCUUCUUCUUGUGGUGCGGUGUAUUUUUUAACAAUUGUAGACGAUUUCUCACGUGUUGUGUGGAUGUUUCUUUUGCUUGAAAAUCAGAAGUCCAAAAUGUUUUGAAGAGGUUUCUUGUUUAUACCGAAAUACAAUUUAACAAACAAGUUAAAAUUGUUCGAAGCGAUAAUGGUACUGAAUUCAUGGUGCUUGCGUCUUUCUUCAAAGAUAAUGGGAUUGUUCACCAAACGUCUUGUGUUGCAACACCACAGCAAAAUGGAAAGGUUGAACGCAAACACAGACAUAUACUUAAUGUUUCACGGGAAAUUAUGUUCCAAGCGAAUCUUCCUAUCAAGUUUUGGGGAGAGGCUGUGUUAACCGCUGCGUACUUGAUCAAUCGAACGCCCACAUCUAUUCACCAUGGGUGUUCCCUAUAUGAAGUCCUCCACAGUGUGAAACCUGACUACAAACAAUUGUACGUGCAUUUUGUUAUGUUCAUCGGCAAGCUCGUGACAAAGAUAAAUUUGGUCACCGGAGUCGUUUGUGUGUGUUUGUUGGUUACCCGUUUGGUAAGAAAGGAUGGAAGGUUUAUGAUAUUGAACGAGAUGAGUUUCUGAUUUCACGUGAUGUCAUUUUUUGGGAGGACGUGUUUCCUUUUGCUGACCAACAGAUUGUGAAGCUAGUUUCGACUCCAGAGGUUAUGAAUAAUAAUGAUGAUUGGUGUGUUACGCCUGAAGUAAGAGGGAGCAUUGAUUCUGAUUUAUCUCCGCCGUCUCCUCUGCCUAAUGAAAUGGUGGAGACAAUGUCUUCUCCUGAGGGAAUUCUCUCGUGCUCCGCUGCAAAAUACAACUUUAGACUCUACACCUCCAAGUGUGGAUGAGACAGUUGUCGAAUCCGUUACUGCUUUGGCACCAGUUCAUGAGCCCGUGACAGUACAACAAACUCCGAUUCCUACCGAAGUUCUUGGUAGAGGCCUUCGUGAAAAGACCAAAUAUGUGCGUUUGAAAGAUUGCUUCCUUUACAAUGCAACGAAUAAUGCACAUCACGCUCUUCCCAACUCUAUGUCCUCGUCGACGGUCCAAGGUACUUCACUAUAUCUUUUAUCUGAUUUUGUGACAGAUGCUCAGUUUUCUCCAGGUCAUCGCGCUUACUUAGCUUCCAUUACAUCUGCGGUCGAACCUAAACAUUUUAAAGCAGCUGUCCGGAUCAAGGUUUGGGAUAACGCGAUGGAUACGGAAGUGGUCGCUCUUGAAGGCCAACACACAUGGGAUGUUGUUGAUCUACCUUCAGGUAAAGAAGCUAUUGGAAGCCAAUGGGUUUAUAAGAUUAAAUACAAUGUCGAUGGUUCUAUUGAACGGUAUAAAGCGCGUCUUGUUGUACAAGGCAAUAACCAGAUCGAGGGAGAAGAUUAGAAAGAAACAUUUGCUCCUGUGGUUAAAAUGACCACGGUUCGCACCUUAAUGCGUCUAGUUGCCGCAAAACAAUGGGAAGUUUAUCAGAUGGACGUCAAUAAUGCUUUUCUUCAUGGUGAUCUUGAGGAGGAAGUUUAUAUGAAGCUUCUACCAGGCUUUCAUCACACUCACCCCGACAAAGUUUGUCGUCUUCGUAAGUCUCUCUAUGGUCUUAAACAAGCUCCACGCUAUUGGUUUAAGAAGCUCUCUGACUCAUUGCUACGCUUUGGUUUUGUCCAAUCCUACGAUGAUUACUCGCUGUUCUCGUAUUCGCGCAAGGGUAUUGAGCUUCGCGUCUUAGUAUAUGUUGAUGAUCUUCUUAUCUGCGGGAAUGACAUGCAUAUGCUUAAAAAGUUUAAAGAAUACUUAGGCAAAUGUUUUGCGAUGAGAGACUUAGGUCGGUUGAAAUACUCUCAUGGUAUUGAGGUGAGCCGAGGACGUGAAGGAAUUUUUUAUCUCAACGCAAGUACGCGUUAGAUAUCAUCGCGGAUACAGGAAACUUGGGUUGCAAAUCUGCUCCAACACCACUUGAGCAGAAUCAUAAUCUUGCAAAGGCAACAGGUCCGGUUCUUGAAGAUCCCAAGAAGUAUCGUCGUCUUGUUGGACGCCUUAUUUAUUUGUUGAACACUCGUCCUGAGUUAAGUUAUGCUGUUCAUAUCUUGUCCGAGUUCAUGCAAGCACCCAAAGAGGCUCAUUGGUUAGCGGCAUUGCGUGUUGUUCGUUUCUUAAAGGGGAUGCCAGGCCAAGGUAUUAUGCUAAAGUCCGACUCUGAUCUUACUCUUACGGUCUAUUGCAAUUUCGACUGGUCAUCGUGUCCUUUGACGCGUCGAUCUCUUAGUGCUUUUAUUAUUAUGCUUGGAGGUUCUCCAAUAUCUUGGAAGACAAAGAUGCAAAAGACAGUUUCUCAUUCAUCAGCUGAAGCAGAGUAUCGAGCUAUGGCAACAGCUCUUCCUGAGAUCAAGUGGGUUCGUCGAUUGGUGCAAGGUUUAGGUGUGGAUAAGUCUGUGCUGAUUCAUUUUUUUCUGCGACAGCAAAGCUGCAAUAAGCAUCGCUGCGAAUCCAGUCUUUCAUGAACGCACCAAGCACAUCGAAAAUGAUUGUCAUGCGGAGCGUGAUGCAGUUCAAGAGGGUAUUAUUGCUACUCAACACAUUACUACUGACUCACAAAUUGCAGACAUUUUGACUAAAGCUUUCGGACGUGCUCCGUUUACUACUUUAGCGUCCAAGUUGGGCGUUCAAAAUCUCCACGCUCCAACUUGAGGGGGAGUAUUGGCAUAUAUAUAAAAGCUAUUAAACUAUGUUAAUAUAGUUUAUCCCACAUCGUGUACUUGAGUUUUUGUAACCUGAUAUCCUUGUGUAUUUAAGCACAACAUUAUGCAUGAAUAAAAGGCAAGUGAGUUUAAUAUCAAAAUCUACAGUUAAGAUUGUUUACAAAGUCCUGAUUUUGUUUUCAUGAUCAGCUUUAUAUAAUUAUAUAUAUAUAUAUAUACUGUAUUAAUUAUAGAAUAUUUAGAUUUAAAAUUAAAUGGGAAUCUGCGUAACUAUAAUCCAUGUUAUUUAUUAUAUUAAAACAGAAUCACUUUUAGUAUUUGUUUCCAAACACUCCCAAAGUUUUUUUUAAAAUAUUAUAUAUAUAUAUAUUUAAUUCUAAAAGUUAGAUAUUAAUUUAGAUAACUAAAUUUUUUUAAAAUAUAGGUUAUAUCUAUAGUCUAUAGAUAUUAAUUUAAAUAUACUUCCUUAAAUAUAUGUUAGAUUUAAUUUAACAUGUGAAAUUUAAAUAAGAUUUUCAGAAUAACACAUAUGAUUAACAAAUAUUUUAUAAUUUUUUUAAUCAUAUUCUAUCAGAUUAAAAUUUCACAUAUUAAAAAUAGAUAAAUAUUAAUAUUAUAUAAUAAUUUGAUGGGACAAGUUAAGUUUUUUUUUUAUAAUUAUGGUCUUAUACAGGUUAGGUUAUCAAAGCAAUAUUAGGAGAAAAUUAUUUCAAAAUUAGUAAAUAUUUAUAUUAUAAAGAAAUAUAAAUGGACGGGUUAGAAUUAUGGUUUCAUAAUCAUGAUCUUUUUCGAAUUAAUAAAAUGAGCGAGUUAGAAAUAUAUUUUUAUAAUAACGAUCAUUUUUUGAUUAAUAAAAUCACCGGAUUAAAAAUUAUAUUUUUUUAUUAUGGUGGUCAUAAUAAUACUGAAAAGAUAUAAAAAAAAUUAUAUUUAAACACAAAUUUUUUUAUAUCACUUAUUAAAAAAUUAUAUUUAUAAAGAAAACAUAAAUUAGAUUACAAAUUUUGAUUAAAACAAAAUUCCUGUUUAAAUACACGGAAUAAAAUCUAGUUAAAUUUAAAUUAAAACUCUUAUUUAGUUAUCCAGAACAACUAGAGGGUUUUUGACGUCUACUGACGCCAAAAUUACAGAAUGUCCUUUCGAGUUGACUUAGUCAACCAUUUUGUGGUUCUAUCUUCUAAAAGAUAAGGACAACAAGAGACUUUUCGACCGAAAAACCACUCGUGUCAUUUUCUCUCAAUUAAUCUUAUUUAAUACAUUAAUGACAGACUGACUUAGUCCUUUUGAGAAGUGGCUCAUAUAAUCAGAAUUAAACUCAUAUGCAUAGCUUGCUAUCUUAAAAAAAAAAGAUCGCUCCUUCGCACAGUAAGGAAAAAAUGGAGAUACAUUGUGUGUUCAUUGCCACUUUUAUGCUGAUACUUCAUCUUGUUCAAGCUCAAGAUCCAACCGGUACGUACAAAAUUGUUUUUUUUUUUUUGCUAAAAUGUACAAAAUUUGUUGUUUUAAUUUAUUCAUGUGUGUUCUUCAACGGUUUCUUAGAUUAUGAGAUGUGUAUAUAUUUUCCAUCUAUUAUUCAUUAGGAUUCAUCAACGUGGAUUGCGGUUUACCCCCUCGUGAGUCUCCUUACAACGCACUCCCAACCGGUUUAGAAUAUACAUCAGAUGCCGGUUUAGUUAACAGUGGGAGACUCAGUAGAAUCGCCAAGGGAUUUGAACCGGACUACACUAAGCCAAAUCUGACAUUGAGAUACUUUCCCGACGGAGUACGAAACUGCUACAAUUUCAACGUGACCCGUGACACCAACUAUCUGAUCAAGGCCACGUUCGUAUAUGGAAACUACGAUGGUCUUAAUGUAGAUCCGAACUUCGAUCUUUACUUGGGUCCGAAUUUAUGGACAACGGUAAGCAGUAGUGAAACUGUUGAGGAGAUCAUUCAUUUGACGAAAUCCAAUUCGUUACAGGUCUGCCUUGUUAAGAAGGAAACAACUAUACCUUUUAUUAAUAUCUUGGAGCUACGACCAUUGAGGAAAAAUAUGUACUUUAUUCAAAGCGGCUCACUCAAGUUCUUAUUCAGGGCGUAUUUUAGUGACUCAGGUCGUACUAUACGGUAAUAUUUAUUCAAAAUUAUCUUGUAAAAGUUAAAAUUUAUCUUUUAAUACUAGAUUAGAUUCUGCGUGCAGACAAAUUAUAAAUAUUUAGAUUUUAAAUUGACAACUAGUAUAAUUAGAAUUAAAUUAAAAUUCUUGUUUUGUUAUCCAGAAACUAUAUUUUAAUUCGUAAUUAUAUUUUUUAAAUUAAUCCAUAUCACCCAUAAAUAAUUCUCUUAAAUGAAUGAGUGGGUUUGAAAAAUAAAAUUUUAAAUCUUAUACAACUUAAUAAAAUGAAUAUAUAUAUAUAUACUUUAGAAACAUAGUAUCUUCUGAAUUUAUUGUUCUAACAUGUUAGAAAAAUUAUGUUUUAAUAUAAUAAUCCAGAUUAAAAGUUUACACCUCUGAAUUGCUGUCAUAAAAGAAUUAGCGAGAAUUGUUCUUAUAUAAUUUUAGUAGUUUACAUUUUAUCAAUAUAUUUUUUUUUUCUCGUUCUUUACAUUUUUUGAUUUUACUAGUUUUCAUUCUUUUCAAAACACAAUUUCUUUUUCAUUUCUUAUUUAAAAAUAAAUAACUAUUAAUAACAUUGACAUAUAUCACAAUUUAAACACUCCAACUUUAUAUAAUAAGAGAUAUUAGUGUGUUUUCUUUCAAAUGAGAACUUCAAUCUUUAUUUUUUAAUAUUGAAAUUCUUUUAUUAUUCUGAAACGCAAAAAGAAAAAAAAAACACACACACAGAGACACAAAAACAGUAGAAAAAUAUUAUAUUAGUAAUAUGGUCCAAAACAAAUUGUGCCAGGUAUCCGGAUGAUAUCUAUGAUCGUGAAUGGAAUACACUCUUCCUUGAGAAAUCAUGGGCACAAGUAACGACGACUCUGAAUGUAAAUGCUACUAGUGAAUAUGAAUUACCGCAAGCUGUAAUGUCAACGGGCGCAACACCUCUAAACGAUAAAGAGACAUUGAACGUUACAUGGACCGUAAAGUCUCCUACUACAAUGCUUUACACCUACGUGCACUUUACAGAGCUUCAGACUCUAAGGGCCAAUGAUACGAGGGAAUUUAGUGUGACGCUGAAUGAAAAAAAUUCAUAUGGACCUUACAGUCCUAUACCGCUAAAGACCAAAACCGAACUCGUCAAAAUGCCUGAUCAAUGCGAUGGAGGGACAUGUCUUUUGCAGCUUUUGAAGACGUCGAAAUCAACUCUUCCGCCUCUACUUAAUGCUAUCGAGGCUUACGCGGUGAUUGAUUUCCCGCAAAUGGACACAAAUGAAGAUGACGGUAUGUUGAUUUGACAUUCUUGAUCUUAUCUACAAGAUAAAUGUUUUACGUGCUUGAUAUCAUCAAGCUUUACAAUCGUAGUUGCUGGUAUCAAGAAUGUUCAAGAUGCUUAUGGAUUGAGUAAAAUCUCUUGGCAAGGAGAUCCAUGUGUCUCCAAACAGUUUUUGUGGGAGGGUCUAAACUGCAUUAACUCGGAUAUGUCUAGUCCACCAACAAUCACUUACUUGUAAGAUAAAUCAUUCAGUAAUUUUUCUUUAUUUGUUAAAUCAUACCAAUUUUGAACUAGAUAUCUCACAGUUUUUUUGCUUCAGAGACUUAUCUGCUAGUGGAUUAAGCGGAAUCAUCACGCAUGCCAUUCAAAAUCUUACUCACCUGGAAAUAUUGUAAGUAUAUCUCCACGGCUGACAUAGCCGAAAAUUGUUUAACCAUUGGAAAUGAAUAAUGUUUGAUGAAUUAGUUCACCUUUGUUAAUGGUAGGGACUUGUCAAAUAACAAUUUGACUGGAGAAGUACCUGAAUUUCUAGCUGAUAUAAAAUCACUCCAUGUCAUGUAAGUUUUCAUGAGACACUAGAAUAUUGUUUACUCUUGGCAUUUUCCUGAACAUGUUUGUUUAUGUUUUAACUAUUUGUCUACUCCAACAGAGUCUUAAGUGGUAAUAAUCUCAGCGGCUCGGUUCCUCCCUCACUUCUUCAGAAGAAAGGAUUGAUGCUACAGUAAGCUAUAUUUUCUUUCUUUCCGAUCCAUUUGUUCUCACGCCAAUUGAUGUAUUUGGUAUCUUUAACAACACUCACAUUCUGCAGUGUCGACAACAAUCCCAAUCUUCUUUGCACAACUCGUUCAUGUGUGAAAAAAGGACAUACGAAAAAGAGUAUCAUUGUACCAGUGGUUGCAUCAAUUGCUUCAUUAGCUGUUCUUAUAGGUGCAUUCGUCCUGUUCAUUGUUCUCAGAAAGAAAAAGGCAUCAAAAGUUGAAGGUAUUAAUAAAUAAGCUCAAGAGUAAUAUCAAAACAUGAAUACUCAUCAAAUUAACUUAACCAAAUUUGGCCUUGUAACCUUAGGGCCACAAACAUCGUAUAUGCAAGCAUCAAAUGGUAGACCAUCUCAACCGGCAAUAAUGACAAAGAAUAGAAGGUUUAAUUACUCAGAAGUUGUGACGAUGACAAAUAACUUUCAAAGAGUCCUUGGUAAAGGAGGAUUUGGAAUCGUUUACCAUGGUUUUGUGAACGGUACAGAACAAGUAGCUGUUAAGAAGCUCUCCCAUUCCUCAUCUCAAGGAUAUAAACAAUUUAAAGCUGAGGUAAAUUCUCACAUUCGCACUAUCUCGAACGAAAACAUCAAUGAUUCAAUUAUUUUUAGAAACUUGAAAUUGUGUUUUCUGGCUUGGUGUUUAGGUAGAACUUCUUCUUAGAAUUCAUCACAAGAAUUUGGUCUGUCUUGUUGGGUAUUGCGACGAGGGACAGAACUUGGCUCUUAUCUAUGAAUACAUGGCCAAUGGAGACUUGAAAGAACAUAUAUCAGGUAAGCAGACAAACAUGACGCGGCUGUAUUGUUGUAGUUUUAUCUUGAUAUCAUAAGAGUUUGACAUCUGUGUCUCCAUUUAUAACAUAGGGACACGUAACAGAUUUAUUUUAAACUGGGGAACUAGACUAAAAAUAGUCAUCGAGUCUGCGCAAGGUCUGUGUAUAGAUUAUCCCUGUUAUUUUUCUUAUAUUCUUAUUCUUUGCUUUUCAUUUGAUUGAACAUGUUGGAUUUUUUGGCAUAGGACUUGAGUAUUUGCAUAAUGGUUGCAAACCACCAAUGGUUCAUAGAGACGUCAAAACCACAAAUAUAUUGCUGAAUGAACACUUUGAGGCCAAACUUGCUGAUUUUGGGCUUUCGAGGUCAUUUCCGAUUGGUGAAACUCAUGUGUCAACAGUUGUUGCUGGAACUCCAGGAUAUCUCGAUCCCGAGUAAGUAUAAAUGAUUUUGAAAUAUUUUCUAUUUUCUAUAUUGAGAAAGAAAAUUGAUAAAAUCUAUCCUCUAAUUCAUUUUUUCCAGAUACUACAGAACAAAUUGGUUGACAGAGAAGAGUGAUGUCUAUAGUUUCGGGAUUGUAUUGUUGGAGAUCAUCACAAACCGAAGCGUGAUAGACCAAACCCGUGAAAAGCCACAUAUAGCAGAAUGGGUGGGGUUAAUGCUUACGAAAGGAGACAUCACAAGCAUUAUGGAUCCAAGUCUAAAUGGAGACUAUAUGAUUCUGGUUCUGUUUGGAAAGUUGUUGAACUAGCAAUGUCUUGUCUAAAUCCUUCUUCAACGAGAAGACCUACCAUGUCUCAAGUUGUUAUUGCAUUAAACGAUUGCCUAGCAUCUGAAAAUUCAAGGGCAGGAGCGAGUAGGGACAUGGAAUCAAAGAGUUCCAUAGAAGUGAGCUUAACAUUUGGUACUGACGUGAGGCCAACGGCUUGGUAGAUUACAUGAAAAAUUAUCAUGGGUACCACGGAAAUUUUUGUUUAUAUGUUUACAUAUUUUACGUGAACAAAUAUCAUGCUGUAAUAUAUUCCUAAUCAUUUGGAUCAAUGAUCUUAUGGAUUAUCAAAGUAGAAUAAAAACAUGAUCAGUAUUAUUUUCAUUGAGAUAUAAAUGUUUAAAUGACAUUGAAGCUGUUAUUUCUAAAAGUGAUUAAAACAAUAACACAAUGUUAUAUGUAUUAUGCGUCCCAUCUUAAUAAUUUUGGCAAAAUAUGUAACAUGAAUGUGAUAUUUUUAUAAAAAUAAUUUUUAAACAGUAAAUGUAUUAAUUAAAAUGAAACAAAAAUUAGAAUGCAAAAUAAAUUUAGUUUGUUGGACCAAAAAAUUAGGGCUUCGUGAAGUUGUGAUUGUUUUUGAGUCUCUUAAAGAAAUAUGUAAUAUUUUAUAAUACAACAUAAAUUUAGUUUGUUGGAACAAAAAAAGGUUUCAUGUGAUCGUUUUUUUAAUUUCUUAAAGAAAAACAAAACAUUGCUGUUUUGUUUUUAUUUUGUUUAUAAUUUUAGGUUUUAAUAGAUUAUUAUUAGCUUAUUUUUGUUAAUCACAUAGAUGUAGAAAUGGACAUUACUUAUUUAUAUAUAUGGAUAGUAGAUCAAUGGGUUUACUUUUAUACAAUUAUAUAUGUGAAGAUAUGGGCUUUGGAUCAAUAUUAUUCACUUGGACCAGAAAUUUGAGAUAAAGCCAUAAAGCCCAAUCUAUUGUUAAGUUUACAAGACGUCAUUCCAUUACAAGAUCGGCUACGGUUUUUUCUUUAUUAUAAGAAGCCGUGAGUUUGAAGCCAAACCCUAACAUAAGAGGAGUCAAAGAGCCGUGAGUACAAAGCUAAGAUACAGAGGGAGAGAGAGCAAUUGAGAGAAGAGAGAAGAGGGAAUCCAAGAGAGCACCAAAAGAAGUUUGAGUCUUCUUUGUGUUGUGAUUCAAAUCUUCUCUUCUAUUGUUCUAAUCUGUGACUUGUACUUGAACACAAAGAGAACGUCGGUUAGUGCGUUUGUGUAAUCUUUGAUUGAUAGUGAAAGUUGUGGGAGACGGUUCCCACCCCAGACGUAGCGGUUCGAGGCCGUGAACUGGGUGACCAAACUUUUGUGUUAUUUAAGUUUCUAAUCAUCUAAUAGAUCCUAAGAUCUAAGCACUCAGGAGAAGUUAAAAAACCUUACAAGUGGUAUCAGAGCAUCCAGGUUUGGUUGUGAGUGCUUAAGGAUUAGAUUAGAAACUCAAUGAUGACGACACAAAAGAUGGAGGUGAGCAUGUUCGACGGAUCAGGUGAUUUUGUGAUCUGGAAGAAAAGGAUGCUCGCGUACUUAACCGUUCAAGGUUUGAAAGAUGUUCUUACGGAACCGACAUCCAAAGACGUGGAUGAAAAAGAUCCAGAGGCAAUAAAGAAAAAGAGCAAAGAUGAAGCUUCCAGACUGGAGCGAGAUGAAAAGGCUUUGAAUCUUAUUUUCAUGUGUGUUGGAGAUCAUGUCUUAAGGAAACUAGACAAGUGCGUAACUGCAGCUCAAGCGUGGGCUACUCUUGAGAGGCUUUACAUGGCAAAGACUUUGCCUAAUCGAGUCCAUUCUCAGCUUAAGGUGUAUUCUUUUAAAAUGCAGGAUUCAAGAUCAAUUGAUCAGAAUAUAGAUGACUUCUUGAAGCUGAUUGCAGAUUUAAGCAACCUCAACAUUGAGAUACCAGAAGAAGUUCAAGCAAUACUGCUACUCAACUCUCUUCCCCCUAGAUAUGAUUCUUUAAAAGAUACUCUUAAGUAUAGUAGGGAAGCUAUUGAGUUGGAGGAAAUAGCUAGUGCUGCAAAAUCUAAGGAGAGAGAGCUGGCUGAAAAUGAAAAGCUUUCAAGAUCAGAUGGAGAAGGGUUAUAUGUUGAGGCUAGAGGCAGAUCAGAAAAGAGGUCAGAGAAUGGAAGAGGAAGGUCUAAGAGUAGAGGAAAGAAAAACAACAAAGGUUGCUUUGUUUGUGGAGAUGAAGGACAUUGGAAACGGGAUUGUCCUCAUAGAAAGAAACCUGCAGACUCUGCAAAUGUUGCAACAGAUUCAAAAGAACCAAUGGUGUUAAGUGUCAGUUCGCAAGAUACUAAGAAAGAAUGGAUUAUGGACUCGGGAUGUUCAUACCAUAGUACAUCAGACAAAGAAGUCUUAUUUGACUUCAAGGAGUUUGAUGGUGGUAAAGUUCUGAUGGCUAAUAACACUCAUUGUGACAUCAAAGGAAUGGGAAGGAUUCAAAUUCAGAACCCAGAUGGUUCUGUAGUGAUACUCAAGGAUGUGAAAUACAUACCAGAGGUGAGUAGGAAUCUUAUUUCUUAUGGGAUGUUAGAAAAAUCAGGUUGCAGGUAUGAAGGAGGUAACUUCAAGGUUCAGUUCUACAAAGGCAAGAAGAAGGUAAUAUCUGGAAAAUACCAAGGUGGUUUGUAUUAUCUUCAAGGCACAGUUUCUAAAGUUGACGUGAACAUGCCAAAAGCUGAGGUAGAAGUGAAAAAGAAGAAGUUAAAGAAGGUGACAUUCAGUGAGAAUCUGAUUCAAGGACCUACUCCAUAUCGUUUUGAAACAAGAGAUUUAUUAGAUGAAGGUGGAGACUCUUCUUCAUCAGAAGAAUCUAAAAAGGUGGCUGAAAUUAAGUCUAAGAAAGUUUCAAGGGAUUUGCAAGAAAUCAGAAGCUUUAAUGAAAAUCUGAGCAUGGAGUUUAAGGAGAAUGGCGUGGGAAAGGUUUCAGAGAUUUUGGAAACGGGUACCUUCGGAGGUAAAGCUAAAGGAGAUUUAGUUUUACCUACAGUUCACACAAGUAAAAGUCCAGCAGAGUUUGUAAGUGAAGCAGUACCUGAACAGAAAGCUCAGGUGUGCUGCGAUCCUCUCAACAUAGUCUAAGGUUGGUACAGCUCCAGGUAACUCCAUAUUAUUGGCAUGGUACUCUCGCAGGAAGAACACAGAAACGGUCGGUUUUGGAAAUGUUCUUAUGUCGAUAAUUAAUGGAUUAGAGGAGUUACCUGUAGUCAUCUGAAAUCAUGGUGAGGAGACUUUGAUACCAGGUGGAGCUGUUGGGAGAUUCAAGGGAAGACAAGUUAGCUGUGUUUUUCAUGAAUCUGGGAAGCAAGUCGAGAGUACAAGAUUCAGGUUAAGGGACUUACCUGAGGUAAUCUAAGUAGCUGAAGAACAUGGGCUGUUCAUCGGAAGGAGCUGCAAAGAAGAUGAAAUUGAAACUGAUUAGUUUCAGGUGGAAUAGCUGGAAGUGAUUCAUGAAGAGGUUGAUUCAAAGCUCAGUGCACAUGAGAUGAAUCAACAGGUCGACAAAGAUGAAUCAAGUUUUCUGGAGAAGCUACAAAGUAUGAAAUUAGAAGAUUUCAUAGUGUCUCAGAAAUAUCAGUUGAUACAGAGACAAGCAAAGAUAGAUGGUUCAGGUCAAGAGGGUUACCUGGAAUCAUCGGAACAAUGAACAAGAUGAAGUGGUUUAGUUGCUACGAGGUUGUUCAUCAGUGAAGCUGCGUAAUGAACCGGUCGAAAUUUUUCCAGAAUUUCGUGAAUUGGGAAUCUCAGAAAGGGUCAAUUUCAAAUCAUCACAGAGAGGAGAUGAAGAGGAAAUUGAGAAUACCUGAGAUUACAGAAGAUUAUUGCGACAGAAGAAUUGCAGGAGAUGUAUUUUUUGGGUCUCAGAAAAAUUUGCAUUUGAAAAUCACUAUCGGGAAGAAAUCAAAGGAAUUUAGGGCUCGGCGUCCUCAGUGGGAAGGAAGAAAGCAUCGGCGGCCACUAGAAGGUACCUUGACGGAGAUAAAGAACUCGCCGGAGUUGCAGAUCGCGUUUUGCAUUCAGUGAAGGAGAAACUUCGAUCUCGUCAUCGGGAAAACGGAAAGGCCGCAGAGAAUUUGCAAGCGUGAGGGCGGUUCAGAGACGACAUAGGAGAAUGGUGAAGAUGGCUUAACGGUGAUCGGAGAUUACAGCCAAUGUCGGGAAAGCAAGUUUUUUCUUUUGUCGUCAAAAGGGAUCGUGAAAGGAAGGUGAUGGAGUGAUGGACUUAAGCAAACCAAAGCCCAAGGUGGAGAUUGUGAAGAUAUGGGCUUUGGAUCAAUAUUAUUCACUUGGACCAGAAAUUUGAGAUAAAGCCAUAAAGCCCAAUCUAUUGUUAAGUUUACAAGACGUCAUUCCAUUACAAGAUCGGCUACGGUUUUUUCUUUAUUAUAAGAAGCCGUGAGUUUGAAGCCAAACCCUAACACAAGAGGAGUCAAAGAGCCGUGAGUACAAAGCUAAGAUACAGAGGGAGAGAGAGCAAUUGAGAGAAGAGAGAAGAGGGAAUCCAAGAGAGCACCAAAAGAAGUUUGAGUCUUCUUUGUGUUGUGAUUCAAAUCUUCUCUUCUAUUGUUCUAAUCUGUGACUUGUACUUGAACACAAAGAGAACGUCGGUUAGUGCGUUUGUGUAAUCUUUGAUUGAUAGUGAAAGUUGUGGGAGACGGUUCCCACCCCAGACGUAGCGGUUCGAGGCCGUGAACUGGGUGACCAAACUUUUGUGUUAUUUAAGUUUCUAAUCAUCUAAUAGAUCCUAAGAUCUAAGCACUCAGGAGAAGUUAAAAAACCUUACAAUAUAAAUAUAAAUAAAUGAUAAAUUGUUUGAUCAAACUUGAAAAUAUACAAUAAUAAAUUUUUAAUUAAAAUUUUGGGUCACCCUAUGGGUCAGAGCUGGGAUUGUAGAUAAUGGAAAACCCGACCCUCCAAAAUAAUUAUUUAAUCUUCAAAUAAUUCACAAACUAUUUUACUAACCUUCUGAAAAUUUAGAAAAUUCAAUUUAUCAAAACAUUGUAAAUGUUGAGAAAUGAUUUUUGGUUAAUAAUAAUCCGUUUUUAACAGUUGAAAAAUAUUUUAGGAAUAACAUAUUUUUCAAACCUCAUAAUACAAAUAAUAUUGUGUUAUUUUGUUUCAAACAAUUAUGAAAAUUGCUCGAAGCAUUUGGGGAUAUGAUAUGAAGUACAGAAAAUUUGGUUCCAAAAAUAUUACUUUUUAUUAAUAAAAAAUAAAUGAAUCUGAGCAGAAUAUCGGUCGGAGGAAAUAAACAGAGGCUGUUUUGCUUCUUCCGAAACACCUAUGGGUCCAAAAAGUCAGCAGUAAAAACUUCGAGUAGCUGGAUAAUUGGUACUUGUUUUCCACGUCUACGGUCUACUAAAGCCAAAAUUCCAGCGUGUUCGUUUGGGUUGCCUUAUUCAACGGUUUUUAGGUUCUAACUUCUAGUUAGGGCUGGGCAAGGUAAGGACAUGUACACGACAGAGUUUUCGACCAAAAAAGACACUCUUGUCAUGUUCUCUCAACAUGCUUUACCGAAUCAUUUUGCACCGUGAAAAGAUUAUCCUCAAUUAAUUUUAUUUGACUGAUUAAUGUGAGACUUAUAAGGAGUUGACUUGACUUAGACCUUUUGAGAAUAUAUUGGCUUAUAUAAUCAGAUACUCAUAUGCAAGAUAUCUCAUAAAUAAAAAGAAAAAGAAGAUCGAAAAUGGAGAGACAUUGUGUGUUCCUUGCCAUUUUUAUGCUGAUACUUCAUCUUGUUCAAGCUAAUGAUCCAACCGGUACGUACAAAAUUGUUGUUUCAAUCAAUACACGAAUGUGUAUUCUUCAAAACGGUUUCUUAAAUUAUAAGAUAUAUAUUUUUCAUCUUUUAUGUCAUUAGGAUUUUUUUUUUUUAAUAUGUCAUUAGGAUUCAUCAACGUGGAUUGCGGUUUACUCCCUAAUGAGCCUCCUUACACUGCACACUCAAUCAAUUUAGAAUAUACAUCAGAUGCCGGUUUAGUUAACAGUGGGAAAACCGGUAUAAUCGCCAAGGAGUUUGAAUCGAGAUACUCUAAGCCGAGUUUGACAUUGAGAUACUUUCCAGACGGACUACGAAACUGCUACAACCUAAAUGUGACCCGCGGCACCAACUAUCUGAUCAGGGCCACAUUCGUAUAUGGAAAUUACGAUGGUCUUAAUAUCAAUCCGAACUUCGACCUUUACAUGGGUCCAAAUUUAUGGACAACGGUGAGUACUAGUAAAACUGCUAAGGAGAUCAUCCAUGUGACGAAAUCCAAUUCGUUACAGGUCUGCCUUGUUAAGACGGGUGAGACUAUACCUUUUAUUAAUAUCUUGGAACUACGACCACUGAGAAAAAAUGCGUACGUCACUCAAAGUGGCUCAUUGAAUUUGUUCUCCAGGAGGUAUCUUAGCAACUCAAGUCGUACUAUAAGGUAAGAAACCUAUGCAUUUAUGUUUAUAUUUGAAAAAUGUGCAUUUUCUUCAAAUAAGACAAACAAUAUUGAAUCUUUAAUUUUUUUUUGUCCAACCAUUUCUUAUAUUAAUCUUAAUCCAGCCCACUCAAAUUGAAUCUUUAAUUUUUUUUAAAAAAAUUGUAUACUGUAAGCGCGAGAGCCAAACUGAAACUAAAAACACCGUUUGCAUUUUGAGUUUUUUUGGCUUAUUAUCAAAUUUUAUUCUUUAAAAAUAAAACAUAUAUUACUUGUCAAUCCAAAUUAAAACAUAUAUUACUUGCAUUUGAAACGAUCCAAAUUAAGCCGUAAGUUAGAUUGGUAUUAAUGUGGUGUGAUAUAAUAUUGUAACAGGCACCCAUCUGAUGUCUAUGAUCGUAUAUGGGACCCAUUGUUCGUGAAGAACUUAUGGAAACAAGUAACGACGACUCUGGAUGUAAAUGUUAAUAACGAAUAUGAAUUACCAAAAGGUGUAAUGGCAACGUGCGUAACGCCCCUAAACGCUAACGCGACAUUAAACAUUAACUGGAUUUUAAAGCCUCCUACUACAAAGUUUUACUCCUACAUGCACUUUGCAGAGCUUCAGACUCUAAAAGCCAACGAUACAAGGGAAUUCGAUGUAACACUCAAUGGAAAACUUUCAUAUGGAAAGUACAGUCCUAAGCCGCUAAAAUCCAUAACCAUAUUCGACGUAAUGCCACACCAGUGCGACAGGUCAGGGGAAUGUCUUUUGGAGCUUUUGAAGACAUCGAAUUCAACUCUUCCACCUCUACUUAAUGCUAUCGAAGUUUACACUGUGAUUGAUUUCCCGCAAAUGGAGACAAAUGAAGAUGACGGUAUGUUGAUUGUCUUAAUUAUAAAUUCUUUAUCUUACCUACAAAUGUUUUUGCGCUUUGUGUGUGGAUUGUUGAUAUCAUCAAGCUUUACAAUCGUAGUUGCUGGUAUCAAGAAUGUUCAAGAUGCUUAUGGAUUGAAUAAAACCACUUGGCAAGGAGAUCCAUGUGUCCCCAAACAGUUUUUGUGGGACGGUCUAAACUGCGAUAACUCCGAUAUUUCUACUCCACCGAUAAUCACUUCAUUGUAAGAUGAAUCAUUCAAUAAUAUUUCUCUCUAUUAAAUCAUGUCGAUUUUUGAACUAGAUAUCUCACAGUUUCUUUCUCCAGAGACUUAUCUGCAAGUGAAUUAACCGGGAUCAUCACGCAUGCCAUUCAAAAUCUUACUCACUUACAAAAACUGUAAGUAUAUGACCAAGCCUAAAAGUCUAAAACUUGUUUAGCCUUUUGAAAUUAAUCGUGUUUGAUGUGAUAUUUCACCUUUGUUAAUGGUAGGGACUUGUCAAAUAACAAUUUGUCUGGAGAAGUACCUGAAUUUCUAGCUGACAUAAAAUCACUCUUGGUCAUGUAAGUUUUUCAUGAGACACUACAGAUUGUUUACUCUUGGCAUUCUCCUGAACAUGUUUGUUUAUGUUUUAACUAUAUGUCUACUCCAACAGAGACUUAAGAGGUAAUAAUCUCAGUGGCUCGGUUCCUCCCUCACUUCUUCAGAAGAAAGGAUUGAUGCUACAGUAAGCUAUAUAUAUAUUUUUUUUUUCUAAUUGUUAUCACGCCAAUUGAUGUAUUUGGUAUCAUUAACACUCAAAUUCUCGACAACAAUCCCCAUCUUCUUUGCACUACUGAUUCAGAUAAUGUACUAUUUGGUAUAUUAACAACACUCACUUUUUGCAGUGUUGAAGGAAACCCUCAUCUUCUUUGCACAACUGGUUCAUGUGUGAACAAAGGACAUAAGAAAAAGAGUACCAUUGUACCAGUGGUUGCAUCAAUUGCAUCAAUAGCUGUUCUUAUAGGUGCACUCGUCCUGUUCCUUGUUCUCAGAAAGAAAAAGGCAUCAAAAGUAGAAGGUAUUAAUAAAUAAACCCGAGAAUAAUAUCACCACAUACAUAAAUAUCAAACUUAAGUAAGUCUGGCUAAAUUUUUUGCUUUCUAAUCUUAGGGCCACCACCAUCAUAUAUGCAAGCGUCAGAUGGUAGAACUCCUAGAUCAUAUGAACCAGCAACAAUGACAAAGAAUAAAAGGUUUACUUACUCGGAAAUUAUGACGAUGACAAAUAACUUCCAAAGAGUCCUUGGUAAAGGAGGUUUUGGAACCGUUUACCAUGGUUUUGUGAACGGUACAGAACAAGUAGCUGUUAAGAUGCUCUCGCAUUCAUCAUCUCAAGGAUAUAAACAAUUCAAAGCUGAGGUAAAUUCUCAAUUUCAUCACUAUCUCUACGAAAACAUCAACGAUUCAACUAUUUUUAAGAACUUGAACUUAUGUAUUCUGGCUUGUUGUUUAGGUAGAACUUCUUCUUAGAGUUCAUCACAAGAACUUGGUUGGUCUUGUUGGGUAUUGCGACGAAGGAGAGAACGUGGCUCUAAUCUAUGAAUACAUGGCCAAUGGAGAUUUGAAAGAACAUAUGUCAGGUAAGAAGACAAACAUGACCCGAAUGUAUUGUUGUAGAUUUCUGGUUAUAGCAUAAGACAUUGAUAUCUAUCUCUCAUUUAAAACACAGGAAUAAGAAACCGAUUUAUUUCCAAUUGGGGAACUAGACUAAAAAUAGUCAUCGACUCUGCACAAGGUUGGUUUACAGAUUGUCCCUAUCAUUUUUCUUAUCUUUGUUUCUUUGCUUAUCAUUUGAUUAAACAUGUCGGAUUUUGUGGCAUAGGACUUGAGUAUUUGCAUAAUGGAUGCAAACCACAAAUGGUUCAUAGGGACGUCAAAACCACAAAUAUAUUGUUAAAUGAACACUUUGAGGCCAAACUUGCUGAUUUUGGCCUUUCGAGGUCAUUUCCCACUGGAGGUGAAACUCAUGUGUCAACAGCUGUUGCUGGAACUCCAGGAUAUCUCGAUCCCGAGUAAGUAUAAUCGCUUGAUAGAUUCUCCAUUUUCUAUUAUUGGAAAGAAAAAUGAUAUAUCUAUGCUUCAAUUCAUUCUCCAGAUACUACAGAACAAACUGGUUGACAGAGAAGAGUGAUGUAUAUAGUUUUGGGAUUGUAUUAUUGGAGAUCAUCACAAACCGACGGGUGAUCGACCAAAGUCGUGAAAAGUCACAUAUAGCAGAAUGGGUGGGGCUAAUGCUUACUAAAGGAGACAUCACAAGCAUUAUGGAUCCAAGUCUAAAUGGAGAUUAUGAUUCAGGUUCUGUGUGGAAAGCUGUUGAACUAGCAAUGUCUUGUCUGAACCCAUCUUCAACGAGAAGACCUACCAUGUCUCAAGUUGUUAUUGAAUUAAACGAUUGUCUAGCAUCUGAAAAUUCAAGAGGAGGAGCGAGUAGGGACAUGGACUCAAAGAGUUCCAUAGA